rnacentral:rRNA from 1 species
GAUAAGGUUAAGUGAAUAAGGGCGCACGGUGGAUGCCUUGGCACUAGGAGCCGAUGAAGGACGGGACUAACACCGAUAUGCUUUGGGGAGCUGUAAGUAAGCUAUGAUCCAGAGAUUUCCGAAUGGGGGAACCCAAUAUCUUUUAUAGGAUAUUACUUUUCAGUGAAUACAUAGCUGAUUAGAGGUAGACGCAGAGAACUGAAACAUCUUAGUACCUGCAGGAAGAGAAAGAAAAUUCGAUUCCCUGAGUAGCGGCGAGCGAAACGGGAAGAGCCCAAACCAACAAGCUU